UACGUAGGGUGCGAGCGUUAAUCGGAAUUACUGGGCGUAAAGCGUGCGCAGGCGGUUCGUUAAGUUCGUUGUGAAAGCCCCGGGCUCAACCUGGGAACUGCAAUGGAAACUGGCGGGCUUGAGUAUGGCAGAGGGGGGUGGAAUUCCGCGUGUAGCAGAGAAAUGCGUAGAGAUGCGGAGGAACACCGAUGGCGAAGGCAGCCCCCUGGGCCAAUACUGACGCUCAGGCACGAAAGCGUGGGGAGCAAACAGG
rnacentral:rRNA from 1 species